rnacentral:tRNA from 1 species
GGGGUUGUAGCUCAAUGGUAGAGCGCUUGCCUCAUAUGUGUGAGGCAUGAGGUUUGACCCUCAGCACCA